ensembl:lncRNA novel transcript, antisense to SLC25A38and CCR8
UGGGGGACCACGCGCCGUCCCAACAGGCUGGAAGGGUGCCGCCACGACUGGCCCCUCCAGGACCAUAUUUCCCUUUAAAUGCUGAAAAUUUAGUGUGGAAUUGAUAUGUACUGUAUGCAUAAACCACACGCUGGAUGUCUAAGACUGGUGAGCAAGUCUUGACAUCUGGAGGAGUUUCCACCAUCCAAGAAGGAAAAGGCAAAGGUCCACAUGGGAAGCUGGAGGUGAAUGGGAGAGACAGAGGCUGCUCAGAUAGGGGCUUUGGUUUCCUGUCUGCCUGUCAGAGCAGGAGGAGGUGGGCCUUGCAGCACCUUGCAUCUGCGUCACUUCAUUUGUAAGAAGAUGGCUGGAAUGGUGAAAAGCACACAGCUAUAUCAUUACCUCCAGAUAUUGAAAGAGGACAUCUGAACCUGUGUGAUGUUGUAGAAAGAAGAUUGUCUAGGGUGUCAAAGCAGACAGAUGCCAGUUUGUGCUCAUCCUUUACCAGACUGGUGCCUACAGUGAGUCACACUUGUUAAGUACAGUGUGGUAAGUAAGAAUUCAGGUUCCAGAGUCAGACUGCAGCUCCAGUUCCUGAACUGUGUAAUUUGGGAGAGACACUCAGCUUUUCUGAGCCUCCUUAUCCUCAUCCGUAAAAUGAGGACAAUUACUAGCAUUGCUGGAGGAUUAAACAAAAUAAUAAAUAGAAGGCACUUACUUAGCACAGGUCCUGGCACAUGGUAAACAUUUAAUAAACAGUGUCUAUUACUAUGUUUUAACUGUUA